AUUGAACGCUAGCGGGAUGCUUUACACAUGCAAGUCGAACGAGUGGCGGACGGGUGAGUAAUAUAUCGGAACGUGCCCAGUAGCGGGGGAUAACUACUCGAAAGAGUGGCUAAUACCGCAUAAUAUUGUAGCGGCCGCUCUCGGAUUAGCUAGUGGGUGGGGUAAAGGCUCACCAAGGCAACGAUCCGUAGCAGGUUUGAGAGGACGACCAGCCAAACGUGGACUGAGACACGGACCAGACUCCUACGGGAGGCAGAAGUGGGGAAUAGUGCACAAGGGGCGCAAGCCGGAUGAAGCCAUGCCGCGUGUAGGAGAAGGCCCUAGGGUUGUAAAGUACUUUCAGUCGGGAGGCGUUACCGACAGAAGAAGCACCGGCUAACUCCGUGCCAGCAGCCGCGGUAAUAC
rnacentral:rRNA from 1 species